UACGUAGGGAGCGAGCGUUGUCCGGAUUCAUUGGGCGUAAAGCGCUUUAAGGCGGUUCGCUAAGUCGCUGGUGAAACCUCCAGGCUCAACCUGGAGACGCCACGCGAUACUGGCGUGACUAGAGUUCGGUAGGGGAUCACGGAAUUCCUGGUGUAGCGGUGAAAUGCGCAGAUAUCAGGAGGAACACCGGUGGCGAAGGCGGUGAUCUGGGCCGACACUGACGCUGUAGAGCGAAAGCGUGGGGAGCGAACAGG
rnacentral:rRNA from 1 species